ACGGAAGGCAGCAGUGGGGAAUAUUGGACAAUGGGGGAAACCCUGAUCCAGCGACGCCGCGUGAGUGAAGAAGUAUUUCGGUAUGUAAAGCUCUAUCAGCAAGGAAGAAAAUGACGGUACUUGACUGAGAAGCUCCGGCUAAAUACGUGCCAGCAGCCGCGGUAAUACGUAUGGAGCAAGCGUUAUCCGGAUUUACUGGGUGUAAAGGGAGCGUAGACGGUAAAGCAAGUCUGAAGUGAAAUCCCGGGGCUCAACCCCGGAACUGCUUUGGAAACUGUUUAACUAGAGUGCAGGAGAGGUAAGCGGAAUUCCUAGUGUAGCGGUGAAAUGCGUAGAUAUUAGGAGGAACACCAGUGGCGAAGGCGGCUUACUGGACUGUAACUGACGUUGAGGCUCGAAAGCGUGGGGAGCAAACAGGAUUAGAUACCCUGGUA
rnacentral:rRNA from 1 species